rnacentral:piRNA from 1 species
UCAGAGCUAUGAUGAAAAAAAAAAUAUGCUAAGUCAUUUCAGUAGACUACUGUAAAACACCGAUCACCGUUCUAAAUUUGAACCAUGGUAACCCAACCUCAUUUCUCAUACUGUAUAAAAUGAUUAAAACUAAAUAAAAGCUUGUAAAUAAUAAAUUAUUAGGGCUUUGUCCCAAACAAUGUGAAUCGUAGGUGACAGCGGCGAGUGAUGCGGUAGACAUCGCCUCAACUUAACUUUCAUUGCCUGAUAAAAGUGCCAGUGAAACGGAAAGCAUAAAUUAAAAUUCACGAUUUAAAAUCAUAACAGUAGGUGUGGUUAGAAAACUGAAAGGACGCUAUGAAUAGCUCUUAAAAUUAGCGGGAAAUCUCAAGGCAACAACAUGACAUUCCUAAGUAAGACCACUGGAAAUUUUGUAAGUCACUCUAGAUAUAGACUCCUAACUCAGGGUGUGGACUACUUCACCAAUUUAAUUAAUUAAAUAAUUAAAUAGUAUGGCUUUUUAUUAGGUAUAUAUUUCUAAAGUAUUUAAGAUGAAAUAUAUACUAAAUUCGGGCCCCGCGUUGGGCGCCAUUGUUGAAUUCCCGAUUUUAGACCAAUGGGAAUAGAGCAUGUAAGGAGUGACUUAGUAAAAUUUCCUUAUUAAGAUAUACAAGUGUGACAUAGAAAUAGACAAAUAUAGGACUUAAACAGCUAAGGUUAUACUUGAGGAGAUAGAAUAUCAGAUAAUAUAUAGGGUACAGAAGGAUUUGAGGACUACGCAACCCCAAGUGAAAACUUUCUUCCAUGCCAGGCGUGGGAGGGAUCCCCCAAAGGAGGCCCAAAAUCGGGAGGCCCGUUGACAGGUCCUUCCUGGAAUAUAUAGGGCAUCGGGAAGGUCUAUGGAAUGUGGAGUUCCAACGUCCACCCCCCCUUUUUCCUUCUUCUUCUACGAAAGAGAUAAUGGCGGGCCCCCCCAAAGAGGGCUCAGCUAUCCCUUUAUGAGACUUCUGGAAUAAUGUCCUUCCUUGACUUUAUUCGCGAAAGCUAGUACGACUUAUUCUUUACUAUCCUCCCUCAAUACCCUUGUCUAGCACCAAUCUCUUCCAGAAUUAUCCAUUAUCCACUUUCGACAGUACAUGUGGUCAGCAAUUUAUUGGAAGGCUUGAUUGUUAGUAACAUUCCCUCCAAAUAGGUAAUAAUCAUACAAUAUUUCAUUUAAACAGUGAAAGAAGGGCAAAUUCCUCAUAUAAAAAUACCUAUUACUAAAACCUGACAAAGAGAUACCCUCAAAGCGGGUAGAAUCAUAUUUACCGCUGUUUCUGUGUUAAAGUAUCACAAUAAGGUACAAUACACAACUCCAUUCCAUUAGAGCCGGAAGCUCUAUAUUUCAGUACAAUUUGUAAUAAUAAGAUGUGGGGGGUAGUACCAUAAAACAAAAGAAUGAAAAAUGUAUGAGGGGAAACAAAACUCUCCAUAUAAGUUGUAUACUAGAUAUUUAUUCAGAUUAGGUAAAAAUUUUGGGGACAUUUCCAUACUAGCGAGAUAUGCUAUUUACAUAAUGAUCUAGAUAGAGGUGACUUAAGGUUACAAAUUUGCCUUUAUAAAGGGGAAAGCCUAGAUCUCCAUCUAUUCUGGCGGGACAAAAUAUAAGAUCCUUAUCAUUCCCUUUAAGUUACUUAAAGCCCUUUAGGGCCCAUGCGAAAUCUAAAUAAAUUAGUUUCUGCUCGAAAAAAGGGGGUCCUAAGCCAUAAUGGCGAGGGGCUUACCUUCUCUCGAAAGCGGCGGCAAGGUCUGGUCUCCUCUACGUCUCAGGCCCGACUGUCGACUCUGGUUGAAUCUCUCCUGUCACUGAGUGACUCUGUGUAUGUCCCCCGAUUUAGCAAAGAAAGCCUCUUUUAUCCUUGCCUCUCUCCAUUUUCAUUCGCUGCUCACGCCAAAGUUUCUAUUGGCUGGCAUUUUCAUUCGUCGAAAGCCAACACGCACGUGAUCAUGGCCACGCCUCCAAUUUACCGUGUUGCCGCGUGAAAAAAAAAAUUGUAUAUUGAAAAACAAAUUAAUUCCUUUAGGAAAUUAAAUAAUAUAUAUAUCCCGAGUAUUUAAAAAAAAAAAAGGUUAUUGAUUUAAAUGUUUAUAUGACAAAUUGUUUUCCUUUGGUCACCUCUAACUAAAAUGAGGGGGAUAUAUGUACAUAUGGUACAGCAGCUCCCAGCACGGAUGUCUCUGGAUGUCACUCGUGUCUUCCUCUCCACCAGGCAUCAGCUUUCGGCAUGGAAGUCUGGUGUCCUCAAGUGUCUAGUUUUAUUUGUAUGUGUGCUCUUUGUACACCCUUCGUCUCGGCCCUUCUGCAGCGGGCUUUGGGUCUUUAGAGCACCGUCGGCCAUCGUUGGGAGUUCUCCACCUAGGCAACAAACACCUCGGCGAGACUCUGCGUAUAUGUUUAUAUGAUGUAAAUGAAUGUUUACAUCUUUGUUGGGUCUGUUUGGUGAAAAUCUGACCCAACAAUAUCAUUUAGAUCCACUCCUCCCAUAUACUUAUCAUAAAUAUUUUUUACCUGGGGAUACUCAGAGUUUGGUCUUCUUGGCUUGGUUUCAGAGAUUGUAUCACAGUAGGUGGACAAGAAUCUUACAGGUGGUUUAGAAGGUUUUUCCUUGUAGUUGUGAAUGCUUCUCAGGAACGUUGUAAUAUGGUGUUGGAUGUUUUCCUUUCAUCUCUCUCGAAAAUAAUUUCGGUGUCCGAAGAACUGCUUGAUUCUAAAUCUAAAUCCAGAUCAUAAACCUCAGUACAGGAGUCAUUUUCUGAGGACAUUUUACUAAAAAAAUAUUGUUUACAAAAAGAACCAGAAAAAUAAGCAAUCAACUGGACAGGAAGGAGAAAUGUUUAGCUGUAAUAUGACUUAGUGGUUAUAUCUCCCACAGCCACUCGCAUGUUUUCAAUAAAACUAAUUUUUCUAACUCUCUUCCACAAAAUUGAGCUUUUAGGCAAGCAUUUAUCUCAUCUGCAGGUGUAGAUUUCGGUAUUACUGGAAGGGUUUGCCGGAAAUCUCUACAGAGAACCACCAGUGCUCCUCCCAUAAGGUUCUCAUUACCCCUCAUGUGACAUUCAUGGCUUCUAGAGCUUUCUUGUGUGCCAUUGUGCACUCAUCCCAAACAAUCAACUUACAUGUUCGUAACACUUGUGCCAUACCACUUUUCUUGCUAAUAUUACAGGUAGGACUCUGUUGCCUGGCAAUAUCUAACGGUAGUUUAAAAGCUGAAUGGGCUGUUCUUCCUCCAUCCAUCACCGUGGCAGCAAUCCCAGAUGAGGCGAUGGCAAGGGCCACUUCACCCUGCGAUCUUAUCUCGGCCAGUAAUAAAUUUGUCAAAAAUGAACAUGAAGUGGGUAUCUUCUUUGGAAGGGAUCACCUGAUUUGAACGCAGAUUUCUUUUAUUGUAGCUAGUCUGUUGUCUUGUAACCCUUGUUGAUCUUCUGAGGAGGAGGGCAUCACUAAUAGACAUGUCAGCUCCUCUUCUCUGUCGUUGCCUUCUGGUUGCCUGUCGUUGUCUUCUGGCUUUUUUUUAGGGUGUUUGAAACAAUGUCUCUGUCUAAUACUACUGAACAUGAAGUGGAGGGGGGAGAUCAUGUGACGGCUGAUUGGAUGACUCAAGUUCAUCGACGACCGAUCGGCCGGCUUGCGCCUAAAGGGUUAAAGCUGAAAUAACUGUAUGGGAAUUUUUGGUUAGUGAUUGGUGAGUCAAUUAGUUGAUUGGCAGAUUACUGAGUGAACACAAAAGAUUUGGUAAUGGCUGGUGAGUCAGUAUGUGGUGUACCGAAAUUGGAGGAGUCAACACGCGAGUCUGUUUGUUCUGGUCAUAGGGCUGAGAGGCCAAGUUGAGCUCAUUGAAGAGCUUGUGGAGCCUCACAGACCCGGGACUGAUGUCGUUCCGCAUGGCUUCCAGUUGCCGGAAGAAGUAUUCCGCUGGAUAGGUCCUGUCGUAAGAUGCCAUAGUAGUUGGGCCGGAUGAAAGUGGCGGGCGGCGCAAAAAUGUCCAUGUAGCGUUCCCCAUCUAUUGCGAUUUCACCGCCACUCUGUGUUGUGACGACGAUCUAAGUUCUAUAGAGGUAGUCGAUCACCUCUAUUCUUGGUCGGCGGGGGUUGAAGGUUCAAAAUUAAGGUGUCGCUGCUUAUAGCACUAUUAAAAUAUUAGACGAAAACAGGAGGGAAAAUUAUAUUUAUUAUAAUUUAAGAAAAUAAGUAAAGUAUUAUUUAAUUAAUUAUAUAUUUAAAUAUUUACACUAAAAGAAUCGGAGAUCAAGGCAAAUUCUAGCGUUCAAAAGUUGUUUACAGGUUCUUCUGUUUUUGUUUACUCAUUUUAGCUGCUGCAUCCCCGUAGCCGCUUCCGUCGGCCUCCCAUUGGCUGCUUCGAACUCGUUCUUUUCCAACACCAUCCAUAGUCCUAUUGUCAUGUUCCGCCUUGUUAUCCUGUCGACUCAGCCUUAAACUGUCAUAGUUUAAGGUAAAGCCAAUAGGUGUAUUGUGGCAGUCAAGCGGCAAUGAGUUAUGGAAAUUUUCCGCCAGGCGGAGAGUGACAAGGACCAUGAUUGACAACACACUUCGGUGAUGUCCAAAGUAAUAUACCUGGGAGGAUUUUCUUGACCUUCCUUGACGCUGUUCCCUACAAUAAUGAACUAUAUGUCCGGGUUGUUCGCAGUGGAUACCGAUGGGUUUGUUGUCUUAGGUUCUCUAUUGUUCAUUUUCCUGGGUUGGGCUGGUCGGUUUAAAUAAUAAGGCGUGCAUGGUUGUUGUUGCACAACGUUAAUUUGUGGUCUUAUAGGUUGGAGAGCACGGCUGUUCCAGGGUGUUCACUUCUCAGAGAGGAUUGACCACUACAGGUGCUGGGAAGACCUUUUGAAAUACUUCUCUAACAAUGCAGCCAAUUAAGCUGGCCAAGUUGGCUUAUGAUGAUUUAAAGGAGAUUAGAAUGAGAAUAUGAAAAUUUUCCGAUUCUCUUAGAUAUAAUGCUUAAUGUCAGUUUACCGUUACAUACAGUAAUCUUCCAUUAUAUUAAGAAAAUAUGGACAUCAUUCAAAUAUAGAUUUUAAUAUUAGAUAAGUAGACCAGUACCUGAUAUACAAGGAAGAAUAGGAUUUGGUGUUUCAUAUCAAUUAAAUUGAUUGUUCAUUCUCUUCCCCCCCCCCCCCCCCCCCCCCCCCCCUUGAUAAGUAAUUUUAUUAUUAAUUAUUAUUAUAUUAUUUAUUAUACAAUUAAUUGAUAUGUAUGCUUUUGGAUGAAAAUUUUCAAUGGAAUUAUAGUAAUCAUUGUAAAGGAAGAAAUAAAGAACAGCAAAAAUAAAUGGUAAGGCAUUAGUCUCUUAAAAUAAUCCUUUUAUUAAUUUAUAAAAUUCAUUCAUGAAUAUUUGUCUUCAGGUGCAGGUGUUGGAUUCUUCAAUGUGAUUUGGGAAAGAUACUAGAAGCUUGCUGAUGUUUUAAGCUGUGCUUGCUUGGAUUCUGUCUAUUUUGGAUAGAUUGCUUUUAUUUGCAUUGGUACAGGCUGGGGCAGCAUAUUCCAAAAUACAAGGUACUUACAAAUGCAAGGUAUGUUGUGUGUAAGACAAUUGACAAUUAAAAUAAUUUUAUUGACAUCUUGUCAAUACAUGCAAAGUGCACAGUCUGUACUGUUUAAAAAAAAAAAGAUAAUAUGGAUUAUAUUAACUAUGUACAAUAAAUAUGGCGCCUCGGCCACCGCUGCAGAGUUUGGUGGAGAAUCUGGAGGAGAUGGUGAUGGCGUGGUCCUCGAGACCAACUGGAAAGAUCCAGGACUGUUGUGUGUAAGAUAUUGGCAUUUGCACCCCAGUUUAGGCUUGGUAUUUUUUUGAGAAUUCGUAACUUAUUUUUAGCUUUGUGUUUUAUGGUGUCAAUGUUUUUUAAAGGUGAGAGCAAGGUCAAGUGUGACACCAAAGAUAUCUUGGGGAUUCUGAAUAUUUGACUAUUGAGUUAUUCAAAAAAAUAUUUGUUGUCCAGUUGUUAAAAUCAAUAAAGAUUUUGAAUUUUUUUCCCCCGCUUGUAGAAAUACAAGAUUGAAUCAAGGAAAAGGUGAUUUAUUAAGCAAGGUACUAAAAACAAGAUGUUAGCAUGGUAAUAUAAAAAAUGUGGGUGUUGGAAAUAUGAGGGGCAAAAACUAUAUACAAAGACGUUGACUUCGGCGCCGCUGUGGCUGUUGAUUGGUCGAUCAUUCCUUUAACGUUCUAUAAAUAUUUUUAUCGUUAUUCCGACCAAAGAGGCCUAUUUAGUCCACAAAUUACCCAUCUAGCCCACCUACCUCUUAAUCUAGCAACCCAAAAUCCAGAAUUGGAAAAAGGAGGCCAGGCCAGUGGCAUGUGCUUUUAGCAACUGCUCUUGUUUUUGUUUUUUUUGUUGUUGCUGUUGCUGCCCUUCGCUUCCAGGAAAAAAUUUACUUGCUAGUGGAGGCCUGUUGUUAUUAGUUGGUUUAAAACAAUCAAUGCCUUACACAAACAAUUUACUUUGGAAGAACAACCAUUAUUUAUUUUUAUCUUCGGCUGCAGGUUGCAUCUAUUCUGACAUGAACAAACUAUCUUGAACUAAAUAUUUUUAUAUUGAUGAUUUAUAUAUGAUUUUUUAUUUAAAUUUACAUAGAUAGAUGUGAUAGAUGUGUGAUGAUAGAUAACAUAGUUUCUAUUGUUUACAUUCUAUGUACAGAACUGUGUUGCUGAGUUAAAAUAUAAUAUCAAUUAUAUUACAUCUUUGCUUUUUUUACAAAUCCAGUCUUUUCGGUGGCUUCACCAGGCGACUGCUUCUCGUGAACUUGUGUUCCACCCUGGUCUCUACCUCUUUAGCUGAACUAUCAGUUUCUGACUGGCCUAUUGGAGAGAGUGAAACUAUCACAACUGUGUGCGAAGGUAAUGAGGAUUUCUAGAUCUUUUUGUUUGAGAAUAAAUCUCUGGAGGCGGGGAUAUGGGGGACUUCCAUUUUAAAAGAAGGGAAGGAAGAGGAAGGUCUGUAAAGUGUGGAUAAGAGUUUGUUCAUAAGGUCCAAAAAGAACACCCACAUAAGAGCGAAGUAUGCAAAAGUUAAUUAUCUUUAAACACAUAUCCAUAAUAAAUGCAUGUCUGGAAUUCCUGAAUGAUGCAAUUAUUUGUUACAAUCCGUCAUCACUAACAAUAAAUGAAAGCUUAUAUUUGAAUCAUUUUCAAAGGAUAAAAUAAGUGCUGUUAUGCUUACCAUCUAAAUGUGAAAUGUAAUCUAUAUGACUUACCUGAUUAAACUGGAAUUAGUUCAAUAAGUAUAUUGUAAAUGAAGAUGCUCUACAUAAUUUUUAUUUUAGUUUAUAAUAUAAAUUGAGAAAUAUUAUAUGUUACAUGUUCAUUAAUGUUAAAUUAAUAACCAAUGUUACAUAUUGUUUAUGCAAAUUUACUUGUUUAUAUAUUUGUGUUUGUAUAUAUAUAUAUGUAAAUAUGUAUAUAUUUAUGAUGUUAAGCUCCUAACCAAAUGUAUCUUGAAUAUUUUGUAUAAUAAAUAUGUUUACACUUUUAUGUCUGCAUUUAUUUAUUUAUUUACAUAACAGCAAAGGGCAUACAUUCAAUGAUCAAUAUCUCAAGAUGGUGUGACAAUCAUUCAAUUGACAGGAUAUUAUGCAAAGUAUAUUUAAAAAAUCAAAAAGCCUUCUUGGUCAAAUUUUGUGGUAAGCGACUGCUUUUAGUGUAAGUACACCACAUGUCUACACAGGUGAAAAGCAGUUUGACUUUUGCCCUUACAAGUGUGCCAGAGCCCUGUUUGAUUACUUGCACUCGCUGGUGGGGUUAGAUUUUUGCAUGAAUCGGGGGCCAUUGUAACUUUUUUUUUUUUUGAAAAAGUGCUCAAUGCAGGAUUUGAUUCCGGAUCAUAGAGGUUGAAAACCCAAUAGAUUAGUCCACCCUUACACUGAUCCUCAUAAUGAAUGCAUAAACAUCUUUUGAUGUUAUAGUGGUGAUGCUUAUCUCCUCAGACCAUGUCUAGAAGUCCGUUCUUCUUUGUAAGAAGAGUAGAAUUCAUAUAUACCGAGUAGUUAGAUGUGUUUCUUUUCAAUGAGAAUAUCUGGGGCAUUACAAAGGUAGGAAUAUGACUUUGCCUGAUAAAGUUUAGCUGGGCUUAGUAGGAUGAUGGUCCUACCAGGAGUAAAAGACAUACUGUCCUGCCCAGGAUGCCAAUGCUGAGGCAAUUAACAGGACUUGGGAAGGUUUUUGAUGUUAUAAUAAAACUGUACACUAAGUUUUACACAUAAGAGUUUCCCUCUGUUCAGAAACAUUUGUUUAUGAGGUUGAAUGCUAACAAGUGAAUAAUGUGCCUACCUUUUUUGUUAGUCUUUUUUCUCAGAAUGGUAGAAAGUGAACUGUUUAUCUCCACAUAAACACAAGGUAAUAAAGCCAAAUUCAAAUAAAUAAAUAAAUAGUGUGUGACGUUUCGGUAACGGCGGUUACAUUUAUUUGGAUUUGGUCUUUAUUACCUUGUGUUUAUAAACUAUAAUCCAAAUUAUGCAUUAGCCUCUCUCCACAUGUUUGCUUGCCUCUUCUAAAGCUUUCUGAAAUAUAAGUUAUAUAAGCAGCUGUGGCCAAAAAGUACCCACAAAGAAACAUUGCAUAUUUGGCAAGAAUCCUCCAUUUUGUUUCAAGUGAACAACUCACAAGUACAGGUGAAAAAUUAAUGAUGGAGAUUCAGCCUUUCUUUUGCCCACCAUUACAGCUCCACUGCAAAACUUCUUGAUUUACAGGAUAAAAUAAUAGGUAGAAAAUCUAGGCUCACCAGAAACCUUGCAAAAUCCAAACCCAGCCACAACAUUUUCAGAUUCAGCAAUGAUUAUUUUUUGUGGAAUGCCAGAUUGGGAAAAUAUCCACUUUGUAGAGAAAAAUU